CUCGAGUCAGAAUCUUGAGACAGUGUGAAACAGUAUGGUUCUGCAUGGUUUGGCAUGGUGAAGGGAUAAAAAACAGGGACGUGGGCAGUCAUGGAUCUGAAUCUUCCAGGACAUCUACCCAACUACUUCCGGUCAUCCAUCGUUGGUUCCUUGCCUCUCAUUUAAUUGAAGUAUGGACACCCUUUCUCAUCCUUAAACAAUUGAUGCUGCUACAAAACUCUAUCCAUUUUCUGCAAAAGAAAACCUGUUCCUUGUAGCAGUCACUCCCUCCUAGUUCUUCACCUCAGAACCUCCUCUCCCACCCUAAACACUGUGCAUGCGUGCUUAGUCACGUUCGACUCUUUGCGACACCAUGGACUCUAGCCUGGCAGGCUCCUCUGUGCAUAGGAUUCUCCAGUUCUGGAAAUACAGCAGUGGGUGGAAUCAAGUCCAUAUCCAUGUGGAAGGAAUCUACAUCAUCAUCACUAUUACUAUUACUGCAAAUCUGGUCUGGGUUGCUGUGUACAAAG
ensembl:lncRNA